rnacentral:rRNA from 1 species
GUAGGGAAUAUUGGACAAUGGGCGCAAGCCUGAUCCAGCCAUGCCGCGUGAGUGAAGAAGGCCCUCGGGUUGUAAAGCUCUUUUGUCCGGAAAGAAAAGCGCCGGGUUAAUACCCUGGUGUCCUGACGGUACCGGAAGAAUAAGCACCGGCUAACUUCGUGCCAGCAGCCGCGGUAAUACGAAGGGUGCAAGCGUUACUCGGAAUUACUGGGCGUAAAGCGUGCGUAGGUGGUUCGUUAAGUCUGAUGUGAAAGCCCUGGGCUCAACCUGGGAAUUGCAUUGGAUACUGGCGGGCUAGAGUGCGGUAGAGGGUAGUGGAAUUCCCGGUGUAGCAGUGAAAUGCGUAGAGAUCGGGAGGAACAUCCGUGGCGAAGGCGACUACCUGGACCAGCACUGACACUGAGGCACGAAAGCGUGGGGAGCAAACAGGAUUAGAUACCCCGGUAGUCC